rnacentral:rRNA from 1 species
UACGUAGGUGGCAAGCGGUGUCCGGAUUUACUGGGCGUAAAGGGCGCGUAGGCGGCCAGUGCAAGUCAGUUGUGAAAUCUCCGAGCUUAACUCGGAAAGGUCAACUGAUACUGCUCGGCUAGAGUGCGGAAGGGGCAACUGGAAUUCCUGGUGUAGCGGUGAGAUGCGCAGAUAUCAGGAGGAACACCGGUGGCGAAGGCGGGUCUCUGGGCCGAUACUGACGCUGAGGAGCGAAAGCGUGGGGAGCGAACAGG